rnacentral:rRNA from 1 species
AUUGAACGCUGGCGGCAGGCCUAACACAUGCAAGUCGAACGGUAACAGAGAGCAGGUUGCUGCUUUGCUGAGGAGUGUGGGGCAGGGGGGUGAUGUCUGUGGAACUGCCUGUUGGAGGGGGGGAUCAACUGGGAACGGUACCGCAUACCGCAUAUCGGCCCAACACGAAAGAGCAGGAGCUUCUCGCCCCUUGCGCUCGGGUAUGACCAGAUGGGAUUAGCUAGUAGGGGGGGUAACGGCGCACCAAGGCGACGAUCCCUAGCUGGUCUGAGAGGAUGACCAGCCACACUGUAACUGAGACACGGUCCAGACUCCUACGGGAGGCAGCAGUGGGGAAUAUUGCACAAUGGGCGCAAGCCUGAUGCAGCCAUGCCGCGUGUAUGAAGAAGGCCUUCGGGUUGUAAAGUCCUUUUGGCGGGAAGGAAGGGAGGCAAGUUAAUACCUCUGUGUACUGACGUUACCCGAAGAAUAAGCACCGGCUAACUUCGUG